rnacentral:rRNA from 1 species
AUGGGCCAGUGUUGCAGCAGAGCUACGUCCCCGGAUUCUGUCCAAGGAGGAGCCAAUGGCUAUGGCUAUUCUCACCAGCCCAAACAAGCACAAACACCUCCUAGUUACAACAAUGCUCAGCCACCACCACAAGCUGAGGUGUGGUACACACCGCCAGCGAUGAACCCUCCUGUAGUCCCACCUGUGGUUGCCCCCUCAAAGCCCAUGCCGGACACGAUUCUCGGCAAGCAGUACGAGGAUGUGCGCUCUGUCUACUCGCUUGGCAAGGAACUUGGUAGGGGGCAGUUCGGGGUGACGUACCUUUGCACUGAGAUUAGCACUGGCAGGCAGUAUGCUUGCAAGUCCAUAUCCAAGCGCAAGCUCGUGAGUAAGGCCGAUAAGGAGGAUAUCCGCAGGGAGAUCCAGAUCAUGCAGCACCUAUCUGGGCAGCCAAACAUAGUGGAGUUCUGUGGAGCAUACGAGGACAAGGGCAGCGUGCAUGUUGUAAUGGAGCUCUGUGCAGGCGGGGAGCUGUUUGAUCGGAUUAUUGCCAAGGGGCACUACUCAGAGCGCGCAGCUGCUACAAUCUGCAGAGGAGUUGUGAAUGUUGUGAAUGUUUGCCAUUUCAUGGGAGUGAUGCACCGCGAUCUGAAGCCGGAAAACUUCUUGCUCGCGACCAAGGAUGAGAAUGCAGUGCUCAAGGCCACUGAUUUCGGGCUUUCGGUCUUCAUUGAAGAAGGAAAAAUGUAUAGGGACAUCGUUGGAAGUGCUUAUUAUGUUGCUCCUGAAGUCCUUAGGAGAAACUAUGGUAAAGAGAUAGAUGUUUGGAGUGCAGGUGUUAUUCUGUACAUUCUUCUCAGCGGUGUUCCUCCAUUCUGGGCUGAAACUGAGAAGGGAAUAUUUGAUGCUAUUCUUCAAGGGGAGAUUGACUUUGAAAGUCAGCCAUGGCCAUCAAUUUCUGAGAGCGCUAAAGACCUUGUGAGGAAGAUGUUGGCGCAGGAUCCAAAGAAAAGAAUUAGUUCAGCCCAAGUUCUUCAACAUCCAUGGCUCAGGGAAGGAGAAGCAUCAGAUAAACCUAUUGACAGUGCUGUUCUUUCUAGGAUGAAGCAAUUCAGAGCAAUGAAUAAACUGAAAAAGAUGGCUCUAAAGGUUAUAGCUUCAAAUCUUAACGAGGAAGAGAUCAAGGGCCUGAAGCAAAUGUUUAUGAACAUGGACACAGACAACAGUGGGACAAUCACAUAUGAGGAACUCAAAGCAGGACUAGCCAAACUUGGAUCGAAGCUCUCAGAAGCUGAAGUAAAGCAGUUGAUGGAUGCGGCUGAUGUGGAUGGCAAUGGAUCAAUUGACUACGUUGAGUUCAUAACAGCAACCAUGCAUAGACACAAGCUCGAAAGAGACGAGCAUUUGUUCAAGGCGUUCCAGUACUUUGACAAAGACAACAGUGGCUUCAUUACAAGAGAUGAACUGGAGACUGCUUUGAUUGAGCAUGAAAUGGGCGACGCGGAUACCAUAAAGGACAUCAUAUCAGAAGUCGACACAGAUAAUGAUGGGAGGAUUAACUACGAGGAAUUCUGCGCUAUGAUGAGAGGAGGGAUGCAGCAGCCAAUAAGGCUCAAGUAG